rnacentral:lncRNA from 1 species
AUCAUGAUCAUGUGGCAACUGAGGCCUUCUUAUUCUCAGGCCCUUUUCACGUCUUAUAAUUCUCACUGAAUGAAGGAUAAGCUUCCUUAAUUGUCACACUAUGACUCAGUACUUAGAAGGGAGCUCAUAAUUUCCUCCUGCUCUCAGACUUCCCUGCCUUUGUAUCUCUCCAUCCCAUUUUGCAGCAUACAACCUUUUGGGUCUACAAAUUAGUAUCUUCACUGAUUCUCUUCCUUCUUCUAUGAAGUUAAUCCAUGUCUUAUGGCUUCUUUCUUAGGACUCCUGCCCUUCCUCUAGUCUACAGCUGUUAUCAUAUUUCUAGCUAGCGUCAAACAAACACUUUGUGGCACUGGGUAGGACAAACCCAAAUAAAAUAGGGCACCCAUUUUGAUUCCUAAUUACACUGCAAUUUGAUUGCCAUAGCCUCCUUGCUGGUUUCAAGUAUCUUUAGUCCUGUGCCUUCAUUCAGUCCUACACAAAGAAGGUGAGUCAUCCCCUGCAAGCUCUGUUUUGAUCAUCUCUCUCCUUCUCUGAACCCUGCAGGAUCUCUGAGUUUCUGCUUACGUCAAAUCAAAACUGAUCAUGAGUCACUCUUUAUCUAACUGUCCUCCACUUUCAUCAUAGCCUGAUUGUUCUCUCUGCUUAAUUCAAGCUGCCUGGCUCCUUUUUCAGAGCGCAUACAUGCUGUCUCUCUUCUCCAGGGCAUUCAGAGAGCCUUCCGCCCACCUGGCAUGUUUCUGCUCCUCUGUGCUAUGCCAGUCCGCUGCUGCUUGCUUCAGAGCCCAGCACAAUCCUCUCCUCCCUCUGAACGGCUUUCUGGCUUUGCACAUGUUCAUCUCAGUCACUCCAGCAAACCUCUCCCCACUAUCUUACUCCAUCUUUACAUGCCACCACUGAGCAUUGUAAGUCAUUCACGUAUUCAUUUAUUUAUGAUGCAUUGCUGUGGUAAAAUAGUGGAGAUAAAACUGUGAACUUGUAUGGCAUGCCCUACUCACAGGGGCUGACCAUCUGGUGUAGGAGACAGACACUAAAGCGUUAUCACAAGAGAUAGUCACCCAGAAACAGUAAUGAUUCUUAUGAAGUAAAGGAAAGGGUGCAAAGAGAUUUUAACAGGGCACCUGAUUAGUCAAGCAGAGCAGGGAAGGCUUUACUAAGAACAUGGCAAAAGAUGAAUAGGAUUCCACCUGCCGAAGAGCUGGAGGAAGAAGUUUCCAGUCUGGUAAACAGCAGAUGCAAAGUCCCUGAUAUGGAAAUGGGCUUAGAAUAGUCAAGGAAUUGUGAGAAGUCUGGGUGAUUGCUGUACAGGCAGUGGGAGAGUUUCACGCUUGUGUGUGCCUCUCCUAAUGUGCUCAUCAGGUGGUCACAGGCUCCGUAUCACAGUUUCAAAGUCCACCUAAUGUCUUCUCUGUCCAGAUCAGUGUUUUCCAAACUUCCUUGAUGUUAAGAAUCACCUGGGAUACUUGCUAAAACCCAGGUUUCCAGGCUUUUGGAAAUUCUGACUCAGUGGUACUGCGGUAGGGCUCUGAAAUUUGUAUAUUUAAAGAGAACUCCAGGUGUUUUUUAUCAUCAGGGUUGUUUUGGAUUCACUGAUUUUUACAGCGUUUAGAUAAUUCUGAAAUGAUAUGAACAACAGGAAGUGGACAAAUGGCAAGCUGUAAGAUAAUAUAAUUUCUUAAAUCCCCACAUGGUUUAUCUUUGUUCAAGGCACACAUUACUGCUGCUGUGCACAUUAACCUGUCUUUGGAUAUUGAUUACAUAAAUCUUCGCCUACUCCCCAAUUUGAUCAUAGAAUAGGGAGUUCCAACCCUGGCUUCUCAUCAGAAUCCUCCCUACUCUCCAAGACUCUGGGGUAUAGCCUGGGCAUCUGCUGCUUUUAAAAGCUUCUCCGCUGAUCCUAAUCCUAGCCAGGGCUGUCAGUCACUGACUUUGGAUGUUGGUGGAGACAGGCAGUGUAUUUCCUUCCUUUGCCCUCCCUUCAGUGCCUCCUAUUAGUUUUUCAGAGAGUGUAGGUUCAGGAAUUUGGUUGAGCAACUGAUCCACCCUCACUGCUGUGUGAUCACACACUUGUAAAAUGCAUAUGAUUAGUCAUUGUCCACCUCUACCCUCUAAAGACUGGCCCCAGCAGCACAAAUGCAGUCACUGUUCUGUCACUGACAGAAGCAAUAUGCCACUCAAUGACUAUGAUCUGAAACCAACACUUCUGAUUCUUUACUGAGGAAUCCUAUACACCUGCUUGCACGUCUCAACCACUUUUUUUUAAAGACAUCACCUUUUCUAAUGAGGAACAGUGAUUGCCCAUUCCUCAUAUAUGCCCUGCAUUUUCUCACCUCAAGGAUUUUGAUCAAUGUGAACUCUAUAUGUGGAAUGUCCUUUUCAUCUUUGUUUUCCAUGCAGCUAAAGUAUAGACUACAAAUAUUAUAAGUCUAGGAAGUUAAUGAGGGGAAGGCACCAACAUUUAUGCAGCCUUUCAGGAGCAGGACUGCUGCAGGCGACAGCAAAGCAAUGCCAUGCAGAGGUAACUUCCAGUGGACACCCUAGCACCUAGUCUUCCACGGGCACUCGAGGGUGUCUCAAGGGUGCUGUGAUCCAGAAAGCUACAUGGAAGACAUUUGCAACCUGCAAAACAUUGGCCUAAUGAUAUGGAAUGGCUCUGUAAAAAUUCUAGAGCCCAGGGCCUUCAUAGAAUCUUUUUUACAAAAUGGC